UGGGGAAUUUUCCGCAAUGGACGAAAGUCUGACGGAGCAAUGCCGCGUGAAGGAUGAAUGUUUUCGGAUUGUAAACUUCUGUGAUAUGGAAAGAAAAAAGAGGAUAGUAAAUGAUCUUCUCUUGACGUUACCAUAUUAGAAAGUCACGGCAAACUAUGUGCCAGCAGCCGCGGUAAUACAUAGGUGGCAAGCGUUAUCCGGAUUUAUUGGGCGUAAAGAGUGCACAGGUUGUUAUAUAAGUCUAAUGUCUAAUUCUGCGGCUCAACCGCAGCCUGCAUUAGAAACUGUAUGACUAGGAUAUCGGUGGGGUAAGUAGAAUUUCAUGUGUAGCGGUGGAAUGCGCAAAUAUAUGAAGGAAUACCAAUGGCGAAGGCAGCUUACUGAACGAUUAUCGACGCUUAAGCACGAAAGCAUGGGGAGCAAAUAGG
rnacentral:rRNA from 1 species